rnacentral:rRNA from 1 species
GAGCGCACUGGCCCAACUGAUAUGACGUGCUUGCACUGAUUUGACGAUGCCUUACCAGUGAGCGGCGGACGGGUGAGUAACACGUGGGCAACCUGCCCUAAAGCGGGGGAUAACAUUUGGAAACAGGUGCUAAUACCGCAUAACUACGAAAACCACAUGGUUUUCGUAUAAAAGAUGGUUUCGGCUAUCACUUUAGGAUGGGCCCGCGGUGCAUUAGCUAGUUGGUAGGGUAACGGCUUACCAAGGCAAUGAUGCAUAGCCGAGUUGAGAGACUGAUCGGCCACAAUGGAACUGAGACACGGUCCAUACUCCUACGGGAGGCAGCAGUAGGGAAUCUUCCACAAUGGGCGCAAGCCUGAUGGAGCAACACCGCGUGAGUGAAGAAGGGUUUCGGCUCGUAAAACUCUGUUGUUGAAGAAGAACGUGCGUGAGAGUAACUGUUCAUGCAGUGACGGUAUUCAACCAGAAAGUCACGGCUAACUACGUGCCAGCAGCCGCGGUAAUACGUAGGUGGCAAGCGUUAUCCGGAUUUAUUGGGCGUAAAGCGAGCGCAGGCGGUUGCUUAGGUCUGAUGUGAAAGCCUUCGGCUUAACCGAAGAAGUGCAUCGGAAACCGGGCAACUUGAGUGCAGAAGAGGACAGUGGAACUCCAUGUGUAGCGGUGGAAUGCGUAGAUAUAUGGAAGAACACCAGUGGCGAAGGCGGCUGUCUGGUCUGCAACUGACGCUGAGGCUCGA